rnacentral:lncRNA from 1 species
UGCAUUUUUAACCAAACCAAAAUCUGCAACCUUUGCUCUCAUGUCAUCACCCAAUAGUAUGUUGGAGGGUUUUAAGUCCCUGUGAAUGAAGCUUUGCUGAGCUAAGCUGUGCAAGUAUUCAACUCCCCGCGCUACAUCCAAAGAUUGGAGGGUUUUAAGUCCCUGUGAAUGAAGCUUUGCUGAGCUAAGCUGUGCAAGUAUUCAACUCCCCGCGCUACAUCCAAAGCUAUUGCUACCCUUUGUUUCCAAGUCAAAGGAGCACAUCCGUUUUCACCCCAAUCAAAUAGAUGUUGUGUUAAUGUUCCUUGAGGCAUAUACUCAUACACUAAAAGCCUUUCAUUUCCAU